UGAGGAACAUGACCUUCGGCGGGGGAUAGCCGGCCCAACGGCCGGGUAAUACCGCGUACGACCACUCGGGGACAUCCCUAGGUGGUGAAAGCAGCAAUGCGCCGAUGGAGUGCCUCGCGGCCUAUCAGCUAGUUGGUGAGGUAACGGCUCACCAAGGCGACGACGGGUAGCUGGUCUGAGAGGAUGGCCAGCCACAUUGGGACUGAGACACGGCCCAGACUCCGUACGGGGAGCAG
rnacentral:rRNA from 1 species